rnacentral:lncRNA from 1 species
AAUGACAUAAAAUUCAAAAUUUCAGUAGCAUUUCGUUUGUAUUUUCAAGAAAGACAGCACAACAAUAUAUAUUGACAAGCCGAAGAUAUAAAUGACAGCACAUAUAACACAGUUUUCAACAAGGUGCAUGUGUAGUUCACAUACGAAAUUCCCAAAAGCAACCAAAGUACAAUAGAGUCAUACAUGUCCAGUGCACAUACUUCAGCCACACACGUUAAGUUCACAUAUGAAAUCUCCAAAAGCCCGUAGGUGAUUCGAUCUCUUUCAUGCAUCGGCCCAUAGGUAAUCCGUGGUCUUUUUUUCCUUAUUAUAGCCCGAACAAUGACCACCAUUGCAGCUAGUGCAACAAAAACAACAGCUCCCCUAACCAUCUUUUUUCUUUUGUUCAUCUUCUUGACCAUCUACAAGUGAUGCAUACAAUAAAAAGUAUCCAAUGAUGCUUACAUCAACAUAUAUAUUGCAAAGAUACACUGGACAUCAUGUAUUUUGGUACAGAUUAGGAAAAGAGACCACUGAUUUUAACAACAUAAAGCAACAAAAGUGAAUCAAGAACAACCAUGAGUCAUCACAAUAAUCUCUCCAUCUCUGUGUAUCACUCUCGGCUGGGCAUAUCCAUGAGCAGCAGGAGCAUAUACAAGGGGAAUGAAUUGAGGUUUGUACCUUGAGAUUGGGUUGUUCUGCUGGGCCUCUGGUACCGCUCUCAGCCCGCCGGAAGCCGCCGCCCCGCUGCUAUUCCUCUGCAAGCCACAAAACCCGUAGAUCCAGAUCGAGCCCCCCUGGUCUUUCUGCAAAUCGUGAGAGGAAAGAGAGGAGUCAGCGGGCAGAGAGGAAAGAAAGGAGGUGGCCGGCGGGGAAGGGAUGGAUUGGCCGGCGGGGAAGGGAGGAAUCGGCCGGCGCGGCUCAGAUCAUGGAGGGGGAGAGAGGAGGGGGAGGCGGCGCACCUGGGAGUGAGAGGCGAUAGGGCUGCGAGAGUGCGAGAGGGCGAGCGGUUCCGCGUGGUCCGGCCGUUUUCGAGGUCUCACCUCGUUCCGCAUCUGGGCCGAAUAUUCGGUCCGCGGGAACGAGUUGGUGGCGUCCCAUAUGUCCAACUGAACACGAGAACGAGGCUUGGGAACGGGUCGGACCCAUGCCAUUCCAGUCCAUGACCCCAACCAAACACAUCCGAUCCGUUCACUCGUCCGGUUCGCCCAGUGCACCCAAGCAAAUAUCUCCCCAAGCAUACAAGCCGGAGCAGAUUAGGCACACAAGAAUCAUCACUGCCGCGAAUCCCGUACCAAAUUCAUAAGCCAGUUCCCGCGGCAUCGGCAGCGAGCCAGCGACCACCUCCGAAUCUCCACCCCAGGAAGAGUAGAAGCAGGCCAGAAGAGAAGGCGCGCGCGCGCAGGAGG